rnacentral:rRNA from 1 species
UACGGAGGGUGCGAGCGUUAAUCGGAAUUACUGGGCGUAAAGCGCGUGUAGGUGGUUUUGUAAGUCUGAUGUGAAAGCCCGCGACUCAAUCGCGGAAGUGCAUUGGAUACUGCAAGACUGGAGCAUGGGAGAGGUGGACGGAAUUCCUGGUGUAGAGGUGAAAUUCGUAGAUAUCAGGAGGAACAACAGAAGCGAAAGCGGUUCACUGGACCAUUGCUGACGCUGAGGCGCGAAAGCGUGGGGAGCAAACAGG